rnacentral:rRNA from 1 species
UGGGGAAUAUUGCACAAUGGGCGAAAGCCUGAUGCAGCGACGCCGCGUGCGGGAUGAAGGCCUUCGGGUUGUAAACCGCUUUUAAUCGGGAGCAAGCGAGAGUGAGUGUACCUUUUGAAUAAGCACCGGCUAACUACGUGCCAGCAGCCGCGGUAAUACGUAGGGUGCAAGCGUUAUCCGGAAUUAUUGGGCGUAAAGAGCUCGUAGGCGGUUUGUCACGCCUGGUGUGAAAGUCCAUCGCUUAACGGUGGAUCUGCGCCGGGUACGGGCAGGCUAGAGUGCAGUAGGGGAGAUUGGAAUUCCCGGUGUAACGGUGGAAUGUGUAGAUAUCGGGAAGAACACCAAUGGCGAAGGCAGAUCUCUGGGCUGUUACUGACGCUGAGGAGCGAAAGCAUGGGGAGCGAACAGGAUUAGAUACCCUGGUAGUCCAUGCCGUAAACGGUGGAUGCUGGAUGUGGGGCCCUUCCACGGGCUCCGUGUCGGAGCUAACGCGUUAAGCAUCCCGCCUGGGGAGUACGGCCGCAAGGCUAAA